rnacentral:rRNA from 1 species
CCUCACCAGAGUACCAAUUGGAGGGCAAGUCUGGUGCCAGCAGCCGCGGUAAUUCCAGCUCCAAUAGCGUAUAUUAAACUUGUUGCAGUUAAAAAGCUCGUAGUUGAAUUUCAGCGUUUCGCGUGUGCCUCUUUUGGCCCAUCUCGUCUCGCUUUUUUUAUUACUUUGAGAAAAUUAGAGUGUUUCAAGCAGGCUUUUGUCUUGAAUACUUGAGCAUGGAAUAAUAGAGUAGGACCUUGGUUCUAUUUUGUUGGUUUUGUUACCUUGGUAAUGGUUAAUAGGAACGGUUGGGGGCAUUCGUAUUUAACUGUCAGAGGUGAAAUUCUUAGAUUUGUUAAAGACGAACUACUGCGAAAGCAUUUGCCAAGGACGUUUCCAUUAAUCAAGAACGAAAGUUAGGGGAUCGAAGACGAUCAGAUACCGUCGUAGUCCUAACCAUAAACUAA